GAUGAACGCUGGCGGCAGGCCUAACACAUGCAAGUCGAGCGAAUGAGGGGAGCUUGCUCCCUGAUUUAGCGGCGGACGGGUGAGUAAUGCGUAGGAAGCUGCCCGAUAGAGGGGGAUACCAGUUGGAAACGACUGUUAAUACCGCAUAAUGUCUACGGACCAAAGUGUGGGACCUUCGGGCCACAUGCUAUCGGAUGCGCCUACGUGGGAUUAGCUAGUUGGUGAGGUAAAGGCUCACCAAGGCGACGAUCCGUAACUGGUCUGAGAGGAUGAUCAGUCACACUGGAACUGAGACACGGUCCAGACUCCUACGGGAGGCAGCAGUGGGGAAUAUUGGACAAUGGGCGAAAGCCUGAUCCAGCCAUGCCGCGUGUGUGAAGAAGGUCUUCGGAUUGUAAAGCACUUUAAGUUGGGAGGAAGGGCAGUAAGUUAAUACCUUGCUGUUUUGACGUUACCAACAGAAUAAGCACCGGCUAACUUCGUGCC
rnacentral:rRNA from 1 species